CCUACGGGUGGCUGCAGUGGGGAAUAUUGGACAAUGGGGGGAACCCUGAUCCAGCCAUGCCGCGUGUGUGAAGAAGGCCCUCGGGUUGUAAAGCACUUUCAGUGAGGAAGAACGCCUGGGCGUUAAUACCCAUCAGGAAAGACAUCACUCACAGAAGAAGCACCGGCUAACUCCGUGCCAGCAGCCGCGGUAAUACGGAGGGUGCGAGCGUUAAUCGGAAUUACUGGGCGUAAAGCGCGCGUAGGUGGCUUGAUAAGCCGGUUGUGAAAGCCCCGGGCUCAACCUGGGAACGGCAUCCGGAACUGUCAAGCUAGAGUGUAGGAGAGGAAGGUAGAAUUCCCGGUGUAGCGGUGAAAUGCGUAGAGAUCGGGAGGAAUACCAGUGGCGAAGGCGGCCUUCUGGACUGACACUGACACUGAGGUGCGAAAGCGUGGGUAGCAAACAGGAUUAGAUACCCGUGUAGUC
rnacentral:rRNA from 1 species